AAAAAAAAAAAAAAAAGUUUUCUUCGAUAGUUUUCCAUUUAUAGUCAUGAAGUUUCUUUUCCAGACAAACUGAAGUAAAAAUGUGAAUCAGCUUAAAGAACAACAUGGAAUAAGCAGCACAUGCCGUAAGUCCUGAGAUACGGCCAAAGCAACAAAACCAACAGCUGCAGGCUGAGAAGUUAGGGAAGUACACCCUAGAACAAUAGUCCUAACAUUCUAGAAUCAUGAAGAAAGGCACCAACGAAGCAUUCUGACUUACUGACCGGUGAUGACGCACCUGAACUGUUUAAAGCUUACCGGAAACCAUGUUUUCUAAACCCGUCCAAUACAUCCAAGAGAUCUGCAGCAGCUGCUACAACAUACAGCAUAAAGAAACCACUUCCAAAAGUGCUCAGGAAGAGGCGGACCAAGGGCUCUCCACUCUGUCUGAUGAACUUCCUGUCAGGAUAGGCCACAGAAAAAGUAUUCAGGUCUCCGGAUCCUCCCUUCUCUCUCAGCUUCCUGGCUGCCAUGGGGUGAGCGUCUGUCCUCUGCUAUACACUUUCACCACACUGUUUCUGCCUUGGAGCCGGUCAACCACGCAUGGACUGCACCUACUGGAAAUGUGAGCCAGAUAAAGCCUCUCCUCCAAGCUGUGGGCGUGGAGUACUCUGCUCCAGCGAUGGCCAAGUGACUUACAGAGCAUAUAAACCUAGUGUGAACAUUGCCCAGUCCAGACUCCAGGCAGGCCUCAGGCCUCUAGACAGCUUUGGAGAUAAAGCCAGAACAUGUUCCUAAUCUGAACCUUCGCCAUAACAUUACACUGCCUGUCCUGCUUCUGAACUCACAAGAGGAAAGAACGAAACUUCCUGCAAGUUUUACUCCUCUGAGGUAACAAGGGUUUUGAAACCUCUUCAGUCCUCAGAAGACUUGCUUGUCUCUCAUGAAAAAGGGCUCUGGUGCAGAAUUCUGACUGGACCAAAGACUGUUUCCAAACACAGAGGCGAGCACCCAGCUCCAAAUGGCCUUGGAAUCUCUGGUUGAUGUCGAGAUUUCUCAGGCAAAGAGGGCACUGUUGUUUGGAGGCUGUUAUGAGAGACGGUGGGUCUGGGAAAGGGAAGAAGACUUUUUUUAACUUCUUCACUUUAAAAUAAUUUCAGGCUUGGAAAAAACUGAAGGUAAAAUAAAGACGCGAAGCCCCUUUA